ensembl:lncRNA
CUUUUCUUAAUACAGACUCCCAGGUGUCAGUUGCUGCCUGGAGUCCCUUUUCUUUCCUCUAUUGUUCUCUUAAUUGUUACUUCAAAACAAUUAGCUGGGCAUUCAUAUGCAAAUCAAUGCAAAUGUACAGGGGAUUGGGUGUGAGAGAAUACCACCACUCGUUAAUUUCCACUUCAAGGUCUGCUGGUAGAAACAACAAAAUUGCUUAACAAUGUACUUUUCCUGGGCCGUAAAGGGUGAACUCGCUACGAUUUCAGCCAUCCUGCUGGCUCGGCAAUUGUUGAGAUUCAGCCGGUUUUUGCAUGCCAUAGGGUCUACUAGCAAGUCCAGGUGCUGCUAAAAGAUAGUAUGAGAGCUGCAGGCUGGGGGCUUUUACCAUUCUGGGCUUUAGCAGCUGAAGCUGCCACCUUCUCCCCAUGGACAGAGCCAGAGUAUUCUCAGGUGAUGUUUUCUUCUCAUCCAAAUGGUUUCCCAUGGGUAAUUCAUGCAAAACCAGAAUCCAGCUGCUGGACUAUUUCCCCAUUUCAGGCAAAACUCUGAUAAUCCACAGUACUAUAGCUUUCAUGUGCUGGGGCACCAUGCCAGUGUUGCAACUGCUGCAGAAGGAUGGACUGGCAAUGCAUUUGCUUUUCCAGUGGAUCUGGAGGAAAAUCUCAAGGCUUAUGCUGAGCUGA